rnacentral:rRNA from 1 species
UACGUAGGGGUCGAGCGUUGUCCGGAGUUACUGGGCGUAAAGCGCAUGCAGGCGGCUCAUUACGCAUGGCGUGAAAGCCCCCGGCUUAACCGGGGAGGGUCGUCGUGAACGGGUGAGCUUGAGGAUAUCAGGGGCUGGUGGAAUUCCCGGUGUAGUGGUGAAAUGCGUAGAGAUCGGGAGGAACACUUGUGGCGAAGGCGGCCAGCUGGGAUAUACCUGACGCUGAGAUGCGAAGGCGUGGGGAGCGAAC